rnacentral:rRNA from 1 species
AUUGAACGCUGGCGGCAGGCCUAACACAUGCAAGUCGAGCGGAUGACGGGAGCUUGCUCCUUGAUUCAGCGGCGGACGGGUGAGUAAUGCCCAGGAAUCUGCCUGGUAGUGGGGGACAACGUUUCGAAAGGAACGCUAAUACCGCAUACGUCCUACGGGAGAAAGCAGGGGACCUUCGGGCCUUGCGCUAUCAGAUGAGCCUAGGUCGGAUUAGCUAGUUGGUGGGGUAAUGGCUCACCAAGGCGACGAUCCGUAACUGGUCUGAGAGGAUGAUCAGUCACACUGGAACUGAGACACGGUCCAGACUCCUACAGGAGGCAGCAGUGGGGAAUAUUGGACAAUGGGCGAAAGCCUGAUCCAGCCAUGCCGCGUGUGUGAAGAAGGUCUUCGGAUUGUAAAGCACUUUAAGUUGGGAGGAAGGGCAGUAAGCUAAUACCUUGCUGUUUUGACGUUACCGACAGAAUAAGCACCGGCUAACUCUGUGCCAGCCGCCGCCGUAA